GAAUUUGAGGAAUGGGAACUGAUUUUUUUUCCCCCGCAUCUGUGUAAGUCACCAAAGAAACAUCUCAGGAUUGUUUGGCACAGACCCAGAAGACCCAGAAGCUUCCUGGGAACCCUUGGAUUUCCAGAGCUCCUCCUACCACACAUGCUUUAACAAAAAAAUUCUGAAGAUUUUUCAACAAAGCCCUCUAUUAUUAAUGU